rnacentral:rRNA from 1 species
GACGAACGCUGGCGGCGUGCCUAACACAUGCAAGUCGAACGAGAUCCAUGGGAGCUUGCUCCCGGAAGAUCUAGUGGCGAACGGGUGAGUAACACGUGAGAAACCUGCCCUGGAGUGGGGAAUAACUCGGGGAAACUCGAGCUAAUACCGCAUACCCUCGGAUGGUCGCAUGGCCGACCGAGGAAAGAUUUAUCGCUCUAGGAGGGUCUCGCGGCCUAUCAGCUAGUUGGUGGGGUAACGGCCUACCAAGGCAACGACGGGUAGCUGGUUUGAGAGAACGAUCAGCCACACUGGGACUGAGACACGGCCCAGACUCCUACGGGAGGCAGCAGUGGGGAAUUUUGGACAAUGGGCGAAAGCCUGAUCCAGCCAUGCCGCGUGUCUGAAGAAGGCCU